AGCGGCAGGCUUAACACAUGCAAGUCGAGCGGUAACAGGGGGAGCUUGCUCCCCGCUGACGAGCGGCGGACGGGUGAGUAAUGCAUAGGAAACUGCCCAGUAGUGGGGGAUAGCCCGGGGAAACCCGGAUUAAUACCGCAUACGCCCUUUGGGGGAAAGCAGGGGAUCUUCGGACCUUGCGCUAUUGGAUGUGCCUAUGUCGGAUUAGCUAGUUGGUGGGGUAAGAGCCUACCAAGGCGACGAUCCGUAGCUGGUCUGAGAGGAUGAUCAGCCACAUCGGGACUGAGACACGGCCCGAACUCCUACGGGAGGCAGCAGUGGGGAAUAUUGGACAAUGGGGGCAACCCUGAUCCAGCCAUGCCGCGUGUGUGAAGAAGGCUUUCGGGUUGUAAAGCACUUUCAGUGAGGAGGAAAACCUUACGACUAAUACUCGUGAGGCUUGACGUUACUCACAGAAGAAGCACCG
rnacentral:rRNA from 1 species